rnacentral:lncRNA from 1 species
UGCCUCCUUUAAUCUUUACCUAACUUUCAUUUUUGCCAAAUCACUAUUUUCCCUUUUAACAAUAAAUUUUCAUGCCCCAAUUAUGGGCAUUAUGUUUUCUAGUCUGUGCAUCCGUGCGUUCGUUUGUUCGGUCGUCCGCCGUCCGUCUCGUCCGCCUGUCCCACUUCAUUUAAAAAAUUUUGGUCGAGGUAGUUUUAGAUGAAGUUGAGCAUGUUUUACUUAUUUUAAUAUAUAUGCAAGUGGUAUGACCCCUUAAAUAGUAAACAUUUCAAAGAAAACAGUAAACAGAAUCAGGGACUUUCUAUACUAACAUAGAAAUUCCCUGACAGAAUACAGAGAGUCUCUAUAUAUUAAAGUAGUAUAAUCGUAGUUUACAUGUAGAUAAACGCGAAAAAUAUUUGUCCCCUCUUAGUAGGUAUAAUAGUUGUGAUUCUUGCGAUCUAAACACCAUAAUAUGGAGAAUGCUCUACGAUUGGUUGUACUUGUGUCACAUGUUUUAACUUAUUUUUAAUAUAUUGCAACUGGUAUGAACCCUAAAUAGUAAACAUUUUAAAAAAGUAGACAGAAUACAGAGAGUCUCUAU